AGUGAACGCUGGCGGUAGGCCUAACACAUGCAAGUCGAACGGCAGCACAGUAAGAGCUUGCUCUUACGGGUGGCGAGUGGCGGACGGGUGAGGAAUACAUCGGAAUCUACUUUUUCGUGGGGGAUAACGUAGGGAAACUUACGCUAAUACCGCAUACGACCUACGGGUGAAAGCAGGGGAUCUUCGGACCUUGCGCGAUUGAAUGAGCCGAUGUCGGAUUAGCUAGUUGGCGGGGUAAAGGCCCACCAAGGCGACGAUCCGUAGCUGGUCUGAGAGGAGGAUCGGCGACACUGGAACUGGGACACGGUCCAGACGCCUACGGGAGGCAGCAGUGGGGAAUAUUGGACAAUGGGCGCAAGCCUGAUCCAGCCAUACCGCGUGUGUGAAGAAGGCCUUCGGGUUGUAAAGCCCUUUUGUUGGGAAAGAAAAGCAGCAGGUUAAUACCCCGCUGUUCUGACGGUACCCAAAGAAUAAGCACCGGCUAACUUCGUG
rnacentral:rRNA from 1 species